UUAAGGGGGCAGGGACCACUAUUAAAGGAGCAACUGCUGUGGAGGUCACUGUUAAGGCAGCGGGGUACUGUGGAGGUCACUGUUAAGGGGCGGUCCCCUGAGGAGGUUACUGUCAAGGGAGUAGGGUGCUGUGGAGUUCACUGUUAAAGGG